rnacentral:rRNA from 1 species
GACGAACCGAGCGAACGUUAUUCGGAAUCACUGGGCUUAAAGGGCGCGUAGGCGGGCCGUCAAGUCAGGGGUGAAAGCCCCCAGCUCAACUGGGGAAGUGCCUCUGAUACUGGCGGCCUCGAGGGAGGUAGGGGCGUGCGGGAACUUCCGGUGGAGCGGUGAAAUGCGUGAGAUAUCGGAAGGAACGACCGGUGGCGAAAGCGGCGCGCUGGACCUCUUCUGACGCUGAGGCGCGAAAGCCAGGGGAGCAAACGGG